UACGUAGGGUGCGAGCGUUACUCGGAAUUACUGGGCGUAAAGCGUGCGCAGGCGGUUUUGUAAGCCAGAUGUGAAAUCCCCGGGCUUAACCUGGGAAUGGCAUUUGGGACUGCAAGGCUCGAGUGCGGCAGAGGAGACUGGAAUUCCUGGUGUAGCAGUGAAAUGCGUAGAUAUCAGGAGGAACACCGGUGGCGAAGGCGGGUCUCUGGGCCGAUACUGACGCUGAGGAGCGAAAGCGUGGGGAGCGAACAGG
rnacentral:rRNA from 1 species